AUUUUGAAAAUAAAGGAUAUAUGUGCUCCCACCAUGUAGAUCCAUGUAUCAAUAGAACCCCCUGAUGGGUGUUGUUUCCCAUCUACCUACAUUUUGGAAAGAUAUACAUGUGAUGCUUAUUCAGAAAUGUAACGACUAGACCUGUUCAUUUUUCAGAUGGCCCAUCUGGUCUGCUCAAGCCCAGCAUAUUUGUAAUGGGUUUGGGCUAUAAUUUUCAACCUAGCA
rnacentral:lncRNA from 1 species